rnacentral:rRNA from 1 species
AUUGAACGCUGGCGGCAGGCCUAACACAUGCAAGUCGAACGGUAGCACAGAGAGCUUGCUCUCGGGUGACGAGUGGCGGACGGGUGAGUAACGUCUGGGAAACUGCCCGAUGGAGGGGGAUAACUACUGGAAACGGUAGCUAAUACCGCAUAACGUCGCAAGACCAAAGUGGGGGACCUUCGGGCCUCACACCAUCGGAUGUGCCCAGAUGGGAUUAGCUAGUAGGUGGGGUAAUGGCUCACCUAGGCGACGAUCCCUAGCUGGUCUGAGAGGAUGAGCAGCACACCUGGAACUGAGACACGGUCCAGAGUCCUGCGUGAGGGAGAAGUGGGGAAGAGUGGACAAUGGGCGCAGGGCUGAGGCAGCAAUGCCGCGAGUAUGAAGUAGGCCUUGGGGUUGUAAAGUACUUUGAGCGGCGAGGAAGGCGGUGAAGUUAAUAGCUUCACGGAUUGACGUUACCCGCAGAAGAAGCACCGGCUAACUCCGUGCCAGCAGCCGCCGUAA